rnacentral:rRNA from 1 species
UUCCGGUAAAUGGCGCACGGGUGCGUAACGCGUAUGCAACCUACCUUAAUCAGGGGGAUAGCCUCUCGAAAGAGAGAUUAACACCGCAUAAAAUCACAGUCCGGCAUCGGACAAUGAUCAAAUAUUUAUAGGAUUAAGAUGGGCAUGCGUGACAUUAGCUAGUUGGUAAGGUAACGGCUUACCAAGGCUACAAUGUCUAGGGGAUCUGAGAGGAUGACCCCCCACACUGGUACUGAGACACGGACCAGACUCCUACGGGAGGCAGCAGUAAGGAAUAUUGGUCAAUGGGGGCAACCCUGAACCACCCAUGCCGCGUGCAGGAAGACGGCCCUACGGGUUGUAAACUGCUUUUAUACGGGAAUAAACCCCUCUACGUGUAGAGGGUUGAAUGUACUGUAAGAAUAAGGAUCGGCUAACUCCGUGCCAGCAGCCGCGGUGAUACGGAGGAUCCAAGCGUUAUCCGGAUUUAUUGGGUUUAAAGGGUGCGUAGGCGGCCCGUUAAGUCAGGGGUGAAAGACGGUGGCUCAACCAUCGCAGUGCCUUUGAUACUGACGGGCUUGAAUACACUUGAAGUAGGCGGAAUUUGACAAGUAGCGGUGAAAUGCAUAGAUAUGUCACAGAACACCGAUUGCGAAGGCAGCUUACUAAGGUGCAAUUGAC